rnacentral:tmRNA from 1 species
UGCUCGGUAACCCCGGGAGGGAAUGCCGAACUGAGCUAGCCGAGGCGGGGCCUGUGCGUGAGCCCCGCCGAGGCGAAGCCCAAUCACGCACUACGCUCGUAGAAGUCCCACUGGCUGCUUCUCGGACGCGGGUUCGAUUCCCGCCGCCUCCACCA